GUGCGAUGCGCGCACCCCCCCCUUGCGUCUGCGCAGCGAGGGUCGCUGCCCGGCGCGAAGUGCGCGGUUCGGGUUCGUUGGGCUCCCACCUUGCAGCACGACGGCCGUCUUCCACCCGCUCCUCUUCAGAGUUCCCAACUUUUUUGAUGGAUUUAUGAAAUAUUGAUAGAGACGAAGCCGCGUUUCAAGGCUGGUGUCAGAGGCCCUUUACGAAAAUGGUGGAGAGAUAUUGCAGAACAACGGAUUUGGGGCGAACCAUGAUAGGCGUUAUGUAGCUGUGGCUGUUGCUACCCUACGCAGUACCUUUGUGGAAUUAAAAAGGCACCAGACCUGCAGGGAGACGCACCAGACAGAUACUGCCACUCCAGGGCACGUCUGUUGUGACAUCCUCUUCAGAGCCCCAUCUUUACUUGUAUGCAAUGAAAACUACUCUCCUCCUGAUUUUUUUCCUGUGGAUGAGGGAAGUGAAUGUGGGUCCAAGUGAAUUUUCUUGGCUCUGAAAGCAAACUGACCAAAGCAUGAAAGCGGAUACCACAGUAAAACUAACAUUUUUGUAGCCUGGGGCUGCAGAGCUUAGGGGCACUGCCAUGACUGAACCUGUGUCUGGAGAGCUCAGUUCCAGCCUCUGCAGGAUAGUUGCAAUGGGAGUGAACUCUCUGAGCCCAUGGGAUGCAUUGCCUAGGUUUUGCCACUAGAUGGACCUCUAACUAAUAUUUAGCAAUCGGUGUAGGUUUGGGUGGUGGUCAUUUUUACGUUAGAACUCAGAUCCUCGGCUUUAUAUUUUAGUACUAUGUGAUGAGGUUCACUUGAGAUGUCCAGACUCACAGGCGAGUAUGGUGGAGACAGCUGUAAGACCCUGAUUUUGUUGGUGGGCGUGUCCUUCAGUAAAUUGUUCACCCAGAGGUGGGAUGAGUCCUGUUUACUUCAACUGCUAAGAAUGGCACCUUUUUCAUAUUUUUCACAAAGGUGCCACAUGUCCUAAUGCUGGCCCAGUUUGGGGCCAUGAGGAAAAGGGCUGGACAAUCACAGAGGUCUGGUGCCCCUUUUCUGCACUCCCUCUCCCCCUUCAAUCACAAAUCCAACACCAGCAAUGACUUAACUGAGAGAUUUAUUGUUGGAUGAGAGCAAAUGAAAACCUCAACUUAUUCCAUUAGUUUUUAUUACAGCUGAAUGAAAUUUCUUAUUAAUGAGUGAAAAAAAAUUAAGGAAAAGCUCCAAGUGAGCAGAAACAGGAGAGAAACUUUCCUUCUAGGACAGCGGUUCUCAACCUGUGGGUCGCGACCCCUUUGGGGGUCGAAUGACCCUUUCACAGAGGUCACCUAAGACCAUCAGAAAACACAUAUAUAAUUA